CUAGGAAGGCUGACACGAGCCCAGAGAGCCAAGGGCAGCAUCCUUGGGAAGAGUCCUCUUAUAUUAGCUAAGGACAAAAUGUGCAUGUUCUGGGAGCCCAAACAGCGCUCUUGGUGCUCAGGGUUGCGCUUGCUCCACAUCUGCACCCCAGGAGAGUGCGACUGUCCUGAGCCAUCCUGACCCACAGCACAGUGCGAGAGGGGUGCCUGGAGCAGGGACCAUGCUGGCCCCUUCUCUGUGCUUGGUGGAAGCCUGGCAGGCUUUGAAGUUGUACGAGCAUCAACCCGCUGGCAGCGCUCCCAGGUAAGAUGGGGACAUGGUUGUCAGGGCCAGGCAGCGUUCUGAUGGAAAGACGUUCUUUGUGCAAGGAAAGCUUCCAGAGCAGCUUCCUCCCUGACUCUCUCCUUUUCUGUUUUGAAGGUGCUGCAGAGAGAUGCCCGUGCUUUCAGGAGUCCUCUUGGCUGGGAGCUAACUUGAGGCCAGGCUGAGCAAAUCUGCUGGAAGUGCCUUGGCAGGUCUCUUAUCUGCCUGGUGCUAAUCCCUCCAGAUUGAGAGAGAAAGAAAACGAAGCAAACCUCACAUCUUAAUGACCAGGAUUUGCUUAUCGUGUUCCCUCUUUUCCAGGGCUUCCUGAUGUCUUUCCCCCUUGCCUGUCAGGAAAGAUAGCACUAAUGCAGUGCUGAAGAGGGCAGAGCAAGGUGAGAGUGGCUAAUGCUGAGUCAGACGUCACAUUUUAAGGGAGCUGUGCCAGAAAGGAAGAAACGAAAUCAAGUGGACAAAACCUGAUGUGAGGCUCAAGGCAUUUCCUACCUCCUGCCUCACCCUGGGCAAGUCACUUCUGCCUCAGUUUCCCCUCUGGGGUGCGUUCACACUGGGUGCUUUUAUCUGCAGGUUGAACCAGGGGCUGGAGGGCAGCGCUGCCCAAGGGGAUCCAUGCUAUGAUGUCGAGGGCUGAGUCUGGAGGCACAGCUGGCGCAGGGACCUGCACCUCCCACUCUGCUCAGCUCUCCCAAGGGCUCUGCUUUGUAUCAGCUUUCCCUGGCUAGAUUGCGUGUUUUGCUGUUUGCCUCAUGCUGUCUGCAAGGCUCUCUCUUCCCUUGCUCUGAUUGCAGCACACGGUGGUGGAUGAGUGAUGGCUGGGCAGGCUCCUGGAUGUUCAGGAAAGGAAGGAGGGACAGUCGGGUACACAGGGGCUCCCAGCUCCUUGGCACGCAUUUCCCUACAGCAUGGACACAAAUACAAUCCUAUGGAUACAGUGAGUUUGUGUAUCUUUGGGUACAAUGGGUUUGUGCGCCUCGGUGCAAUGGAAGAAGAGAAGAAAUCAUGCCCAGGCACCCCUAUUGCAUCUGGGGCACAGGAGCUGCCAAAUCCUGCCUGCCUGCUGUAAGAGCACGCUGGGCUCUGGGAAAUGCAGCUCCCAUGGGACAGUGCCUGGGAUUUUGGAUGGUCCCUCUUCAGUCCUCCUUCCCCUGCCUGCCCUCAGCAGUGAUACAGCAUGAGUGAUACAGCAUCGUGGUAGCAGAGCGAGGAGGAAGGAUCCAGAGCUUUUGUUUGCUCUCUGAGUUUCAGAAGAACACUCUUUGAUUCCAGAACAAGGCUGAUAUUUACCUUCUCCUCUCUGCCCUCAGCCACCAGCUCAGGCCAAAACUGGUGCUAGGAAAACCAGAAAAACAGAGAGAAAAGGGAUGAGACGGAGGCAGGAACAAGAGAACAGGCAAUGUGAUGCUGGAGGAUGGUAAAGAAGAAAAGCAGAAUAGGAAGUGAGAGCGGAGGCCUCCAGCCAAGCCAGCCAGCACUCCUCUCAGCCUGUCUUUCAUGUAUAGCACUGUUUGGGUUUCUCUAAACAUAGAAAAUUCCCACAUAAAGAAUUUUUU